GAGUCAGCGGAACAACUUUGAGUCCGGGAGGAGACUCGUAGUCAAUGCACCCGGAAAAGUCCCCGCUUGUCUCCCAUUCUGUCUCCGCUUGUGUUUCCAGGCGGUGGGGAUGAUUUCCUGCUGUUACAGCUUGGGAUGCAGUGAAGGGCAGCAUCAGGAUCUGAAUGGAGUCCUCCUGAGUUGGCUGACCAGGAGCUGGUGAAUCCUUUGCAGGCUGUGGUGUGGAGUGACCACGUCUGGAAGCUCCUCUCUCAUGUACCUCCAGAGGCUCGCUCCUCAGAUCUGUCACUCACCUGCCUACCUUCACCUGGUCCUCACCUGCCCUCCCCUCUGUCUUUCAGAGUCAUCUUUUGAUCACACCACCUGGGACUACCCACCACUGUCCCCUGAAUGUAGAAAUGGUGCCUGUCCUAAUCACAUGUCAUCCUAGCCCCAACGCCCAAAAGCUUACUCUCAUGAAUAAGCAGUGAAAAGAGUGAUUAUUAAGAG
rnacentral:lncRNA from 1 species